CCUACGGGAGGCAGCAGUAGGGAAUAUUGCUCAAUGGGGGAAACCCUGAAGCAGCAACGCCGCGUGGAGGAUGAAGGUUUUCGGAUUGUAAACUCCUUUUGUUAGAGAAGAUAAUGACGGUAUCUAACGAAUAAGGACCGGCCAAAUCAGUGCCAGCAGCCGCGGUAAUACGGAGGGUGCAAGCGUUACUCGGAAUUACUGGGCGGAAAGAGCGCGGAGGCGGGAUAGCAAGUCGGAUGUGAAAACCUAUGGCUUAACCAUAGAACUGCAUUUGAAACUGUUAUUCUAGAGUAUGGGAGAGGUAGGUGGAAUUCUUGGUGUAGGGGUAAAAUCCGUAGAGAUCAAGAGGAAUACUCAUUGCGAAGGCGACCUGCUAGAACAUAACUGACGCUGAUGCGCGAAAGCGUGGGGAGCAAACAGGAUUAGAUACCCUUGUAGUC
rnacentral:rRNA from 1 species